rnacentral:lncRNA from 1 species
GGGUAGGGAGGGAGGCAGGAAAACAUGUUCUCAUCAUUCGCAGAACAGUGAAUCAUGGAUCCAUCUCAGGGUCACCCUGCGGGUUCCUGUGAGCGGGGGUGAAGCCAGCCAUCCCCAGCCUAGCAGCACAGGCCUGACAUCACUGAACCAGCAUGCCACCCCAGCAGCACAGGCCUGAUGUCACACUCCAUCAGCAUAUCACCACCAAAUGCAAAGCCCUGAAGGCACUGCUUCGCCAUAUCACCCCCAACAGCACAGGCCCAAAGUCACUCCCCAUGUUACCCCCAACAGCAUAGCCCUAAAUCA